GGACUUGAGGGUGAUAUGGCUGCAGGAUCUGUCAUCUCGUUGAUCUCUGGGGUUAAUUCGGCUGCUCUACACAACUGGGUGGGUGUGCCCUUCCUCCAGAACCACUCCANGUCCAUCUUUUCUGAAGCUGAUUACUCAGUUGAAGAAGACAACCUUUCCUGCUGGGGGAGGACCAUUCUGUCAUUAGUAAAGAGAAGAUGUGCACUCCUGCUAGAACCUCCNAAGAGACCCUCAAGAAAUGCACUGAGCCAUGCUAACAUAANNAAUGGGCAGCUGUGUCGUGCUAGUUCCUGUCACUAUGAU
rnacentral:snRNA from 1 species